rnacentral:misc_RNA from 1 species
GGAAGUAAAAGUUGUAACAAGGUUUCCGUAGGUGAACCUGCGGAAGGAUCAUUAUUGUAUAACCGAGGUGCGAGGGCUGUCGCUGACCCGAAAGGUCGUGCACGCCCGAGUGCCCUCACACACAUCCAUCUCACCCCUAUGUGCACCACCGCGUGGGUCCCCCUUUGGCUUGUUCGGAGGGGGGCUUACGUUUUCACACAAACUUUGUAUACAGUGUAGAAUGUAUUCUUUGUUUUUGCGAUCACGCAAUCAAUACAACUUUCAACAACGGAUCUCUUGGCUCUC